GAUGAACGCUAGCUACAGGCUUAACACAUGCAAGUCGCGGGGUAACAUCUGGGAGAGCUUGCUCUUCCAGGAUGACGACCGGCGCACGGGUGAGUAACGCGUAUCCAACCUGGCCCAUACCACGGGAUAGCCCGUCGAAAGGCGGAUUAAUACCGUAUGCUGUCAUUAAGAGGCAUUUUUUGAUGACGAAAGGACUGGCGGUAUGGGAUGGGGAUGCGUCUGAUUAGCUUGUUGGCGGGGUAACGGCCCACCAAGGCGACGAUCAGUAGGGGUUCUGAGAGGAAGGUCCCCCACAUUGGAACUGAGACACGGUCCAAACUCCUACGGGAGGCAGCAGUGAGGAAUAUUGGUCAAUGGGCGCAAGCCUGAACCAGCCAAGUAGCGUGAGGGAAGACUGCCCUACGGGUUGUAAACCUCUUUUGUUUGGGAAUAAAGUGCGGGACGUGUCCCGCAUUGCAUGUACCAUUUGAAUAAGGACCGGCUAAUUCCGUG
rnacentral:rRNA from 1 species